GAUUUGAGGGUCUGCGUUGACUCCUAAUCACAGGAGACACACUUUGUGAGAAAGACCAAUGCAGCUGGAUAUGGAUAUGACUUUUGGGAGCCAGCUGCCACACACUAAAUUACAGCAGAGAUAACAAGCUGUUACUGUGUGCCAUCCACGGGGACGUGUGUGGUAUCUCCUUUCUCAGGAGAUCCUACAGAGAUGCUGAUUCAUGUGCUGCCGUCCUUCUUUGGCUGAGCAGACUGCCAGCCUUUGGGACUGUCAUUUUACAGCAUGAAAGACAGACGUGAGAUGUGUUGGCAAGAGGUUUCCAGGCAGUAGGUUGAACGAGCCAAAGAAUUCAAAGCCACAGUCUCUCCCAUUCCUACCCAACGGAUUAUAACUGCAGCCAGAAGAGAGAUGCAGAUGAAACGAGAGAGCAAGAGAAUGUGGUUACUGUGCUGAGAGGAAUGGUCCACAGAAACACGUUAAUUUUGCUAGGGCUUGGGCCAGCAGAAGGGGCCCAGAGUGACAGAGAGGGAAGGGGAUGAAGGAAAAAGGAGGGAUUAUCGAACUGCUGCCUAAUGCACAUUGCCUGGUGCUGCUGGUUGCUUGCUUCAAGGCCACCCAUGCGGGGCAAAAUUCCAGGUUCAAGCCACAUCGAGUUGUUUGUGUUCUAAUUAUGAAACUUCCAGAAGUGAUGGAAAGUUGAAUGCAACUACUGAUGCAGGGUUGAUUUCAUCAGAAGGGAUUUUCCUUGUCUCAUUCCAUGGAGUCAUUUCCUCUUCUCGCAAGCCAGAACUUCAAGCCUUGGGAUUCUGAUCUGCCAAGGUGCACACAGACCUUGUUAAUUCCUAUUCAAGAAGCAAGUCUUCUGAUUCAAAGUUAUAUGCUAGAAUUUUUCCUUAUGAAGCUUUCACACUACUGAGGACCAGAAAUGCAGAUCCAUUUGCUGAUGUGAUUUGACUAAUCCCACUAUAAUGAGGAAGUAGAACAGCUGAGAUGAAAGCCUGAGCCCCCACUGUGCAAAGGGCCUUGAUUCCGUCACUAUCCAGCAAUUGGAGCCAUGCACUAAGAAGGAACAGAACAUCAUCACAUGUAGCCAGCUGGGUGCUGUCUCAGAAAGUCAAUCUGCAGAGGAAUAACUGGAGCCCUAUCCCAGGUCAUGACAAAAACCUACUUUCUGAAUGCAUAUCUUCUGCUGACAUUAUUAAUCAGACUGGCAUCAGGCGGUACAUAUGAAGAGAAUACAGUAAUCAAACUGCUUUUAGCUGAGUUUACAUUUUAUGUACAGGUCACGAACAGAAGGGUUUGAGAAAAUCAUGCAGGUGUAGCUGCAAAAAGCAAGCCUGUGUGGUGGUUGCUGGCUGUUAUUCUUGGGGAGGUUUGUGUAAAAGGACUCCUAGGGUUCAAUCCUAGGUUCUCAGCAGGGAUUCCGGUUUCAUAUUAAGGCAGAGAAAUGUGGAUGUCUAGAAACAAGCACAAAAUUUAGAGAAUUCUUCAGUUCAAUUUGUAUGAGGUUUAUUCAUAUGCCCAUGUAGGGUUAUCUUCUGUCCUUUCAGUUGGCAUGCAGCUUCUAGAAAGAAGUCCAGCCAUUACUUUUAAAAGCACGGGUUUCAUACAGGUCAUGGGAUGCAUCUAAUAACUUGAUUCAGACAUCCCAGCUACCCAAAGCAUCUGAAAUAGUCGUAGAUGUUUCCACCACAGGAAAAUGAAUUAAGCCAAUUUACUUGGCCAGGUAAACAUCUCCCUAGACUCUGCUGGUUAUAUCUCAAUUGGCUGCAAUGAGAAUUUAGAAACCUUAAGAUUUGUGUAAACAAAGGCAUCUCCUUUUCUUUCAUGUGACAAAUGCAAUUAUAGUAAUGGCACAGGACUUGUACUGUCCUUGUGCUCUUGUGUGCUGAAGUAUUAAGCAAAUCUCCAGACACUUUUGACAGUAUAGGCUAGCUCAAGAAUGGUUAUGACAGACAUUUUAACAGCUGCUUUGUGCAGUAUGAAAACUUUAAAAGCCAUAUAAAAAAGCAAACAAACACCCUAAGCAUUCUUCUUAUAAACAAUAUAGAAAGAGAAUGAUUCUAGAGGGUAGUCCAUCUCACAAAGGCCUGGUUGUACAGAAAUUACAGAGAGCUUGAGAUCUCAUUCCAUAUUUUCCAAUGAAAUGUUAAAGGUAGGGGGAAUUAACAGAGACCUUGAACUCUCAGAGCCCUCUGACUAAAAAAAUGAGAAUAGAUUUUAUCGUGAUACAUUUGAAAUUACCUUUCCUAGGGCAACUGUGCUUUUGUUUCUGACCUCAGGAUAGAGCAAGCCAAAAAGUGACUCAUGUCUACCACCUGUAACCAUUAGCAAGAUUCAGAGAGAGGUUUACAUAAGAUAGAAAUGCGGACACCCACAUUGAAUCCAUGCUGGACUGGAAAAAUUGCCUGCAAACACCAUGAUGACUGCAAUUCUCAGCUCCACGUGGCAGGAUCCCUUCCUGAAGGUAGUCUGAUAUGGACUGCCCAGACAAGCAGUCUUUCGCAUCAUCAUCAGUUUGGCAUAAUUUCCCCCAUCUACUUGGAGAAGGAAGAUCUUUUUUCAAUCUUAAUAUCUAGCAAUGUUUCUGGGUUCCUUGAAAUGCAUGAUGCAGCCCCUGAUUUCGGUAAAGCAUCAGCCAGUGGUCCUUUGUCUUUCGUCUUAAUAUUGUUGCAGUACAGUUCGCGUUGAUUUGAAUUUCUGAGAUGUUCCUUUGUUUGCAUUCACCCACCCACUGCUCAUCACCUACCUCUGAGCUCCCUAAUCUUCAGCUUUGUCUGACUUACUUGGAGCCUCUGAACACACAGUAAGGAGAGUGCUUGAGUAUGAGUGUGGGGGCAGUGACCCCACCACCUCCCUGGGCAGUCUGUGCCAGUGCAUCACCACUAUUUCUGAGAAUAAAUUGUUCCUAAUAUCGAAACUAAAAUACCAGAGUUUUCUACUGGAAGAACAUUUUCAUUUUUGUUUAGCAACACGGAUGCUUCUUUUACAGUCAUCUGCUUUGUGAAAUUUGAGACAUUGCUUUUUUCCCAGAGUUAUCCAGAAUAGACCACAAGUUCCUUCUACCACCAAGAUAUUAGGCUUAUAAGAAAGAUA